GUAUACGGCCAUAUCAUCCCGAACAGGCCCACUCUCGUCUGAUCUCGGAAGCUAAGCAGGAUCGGGCCUGGUUAGUACUUGGAUGGCAUAAAAAAAAAAAAGUAUGUAUUUC
rnacentral:rRNA from 1 species